AGUAUGUGAGAUAAUAGUAGUAGUGCUUUGCCUCCGGCAAGCACCACUAACUAGAAGGUACAUUUCCUGAAGAAAAUGUGAGUGGUGCUUGCAGUGGCAAAACUCUGCGCCCUGUAGCCACCCAUGAUGCCUGUGUGAUGUUUUGAAGCAGAGAUAUAAGGAUUUAUAUUGCUACAUGGUUGCUAGGGUGCUCUAUAUGGUUGCUAUGGUCUGACUAUAUAGUUUAUGGGGUGAUAUUUAAAGAUUAUUUACCAGCCUGAAUGCAAAAAGCCCAAGCCAGUGUUUCUAUAUAGUUAUUUUUGCUGAGAUACAGCUUUUAAAUGUAGUUAAACAGUUGCUAGGGGGCUAAAAUUGGUUGCUAGGGCAUGGAUAUGAAGUUGUUAUGUCACUACUUAUGGACUGCUUGAUAGGCCGAGUCAAAAGAGCCCUCUCCCAAGCCUCUAUGACUUUCUGAUCCAAAGAUAUGAUGUCAGAUAGUUUUUCCAAUGUUAAGUCAAUGGGAUAUUUUCACACAUUUUCUUCGCCCGCUGUACGAUUAUCGUAAGUCCGAUUGGUUAGAAAAGUCAUAGCACACCUCUCCUCAAUAUCCCGCACGAUUUGACACCUCAUUCAUGGGUCUGUGACAAAAAAUGCGGGAGGAGUAGCGUGCCAAAAUUUUGUAAAGGCGAAUAGUAAUAGUAACACUAGAAGGUACAUUUCCUGAAGAAAAUGUGAGUGGUGCUUGCAGUGGCAAAACUCUGCGCCCUGUAGCCACCCAUGAUGCCUGUGUGAUGUUUUGAAGCAGAGAUAGAAGGAUUUAUAUUGCUAAAUGGUUGCUAGGGUGCUCUAUAUGGUUGCUAUGGUGUGACUAUAUAGUUUAUGGGGUGAUAUUUAAAGAUUAUUUACCAGCCUGAAUGCAAAAAGCCCAAGCCAGUGUUUCUAUAUAGUUAUUUUUGCUGAGAUACAGCUUUUAAAUGUAGUUAAACAGUUGCUAGGUGGCUAAAAUUGGUUGCUAGGGCAUGGAUAUGAAGUUGUUAUGUCACUACUUAUGGACUGCUUGAUAGGCCGAGUCAAAAGAGCCCUCUCCCAAGCCUCUAUGACUUUCUGAUCCAAAGAUAUGAUGUCAGAUAGUUUUUCCAAUGUUAAGUCAAUGGGAUAUUUUCACACAUUUUCUUCGCCCGCUGUACGAUUAUCGUAAGUCCGAUUGCUUAGAAAAGUCAUAGCACACCUCUCCUCAAUAUCCCGCACGAUUUGACGCCUCAUUCAUGGGUCUGUGACAAAAAAUGCGGGAGGAGUAGCGUGCCAAAGUUUUGUCAAGGCGAAUAGUAAUAGUAACACUAGAAGGUACAUUUCCUGAAGAAAAUGUGAGUGGUGCUUGCAGUGGCAAAACUCGCCCCUCUGUUGCUAAGGUGUGGUUGCUAGGGUACCCGGGGUGGUUGCUAGGGUGGUUGCUAGGGUCCCUAUGAUGGUUACUAGGGCCGUUGCUAGGGUACCCAGGGUGGUUGCUAGGGUAAUCAGGGUGGUUGCUAGGGUGUUGCUAUGUGGUUGCUAGGGUACCCGGGGUGGUUGGUAGGGAGGUUGCUAGGGUCCCCAUGAUGGUUGCUAGGGCCGUUGCUAGGGUACUCAGGGUGGUUGCUAGGGUAAUCGGGGUGGUUGCUAUGUGGUUGCUAGGGUACCCGGGGUGGUUGCUAGGGCGGUUGCUAGGGUCCCCAUGAUGGUUGCUAGGGCCGUUGCUAGGUUACCCAGGGUGGUUGCUAGGGUGUUUUGGCUGGUUGCUAGGGUGUUGCUAUGUGGUUGCUAGGGUACCCGGGGUGGUUGCUAGGGCGGUUGCUAGGGUCCCCAUGAUGGUUGCUAGGGCCGUUGCUAGGGUACUCAGGGUGGUUGCUAGGGUAAUCGGGGCGGUUGCUAGGGUGUUGCUAUGCGGUUGCUAGGGUACCCGGGGUGGUUGCUAGGGCGGUUGCUAGGGUCCCCAUGAUGGUUGCUAGGGCCGUUGCUAAGGUACCCAGGGUGGUUGCUAGGGUAAUUGGGGCGGUUGCUAGGGUGUUGCUAUGUGGUUGCUAGGGUACCCGGGGUGGUUGCUAGGGCGGUUGCUAUGGUAACCUGGGUGGUUGCUAGGCAGUUGCUACGGUACUUGGGGUGGUUGCUAAGGUGUUGCUAGGUGGUUGCUAGGGUGUUUUGGCUGGUUGCUAGGCAGUUGCUAUGGUCUCCUGGGUGGUUGCUAUGAUGUUACUAGGUGGUUGGUAGUUGUCACAGAUGGUCACUAUGUAGUUAUUAUAGAGUUCUUAGCCCAUUUGAGCACUUAGCUAAUCACUAUUAGCAUGUAGCUAAUCACUGCUAGCAUGACUAGCAUGUUGGAAGUCCAGUGUGCUAGCAUGAGUCAAAAAAUCCAACCGCCAUGUCUGUACGAUGUUCUGAUGCAGAGAUAUAGGUCGUGCAAAACGGUUGCUAGGGUACUCCGUUUGGUUGCUAUGGAGUGGCUUGGCAGCUGCCAAUGGUGAUACUCCAAAGGCUGCUCGCCAAUAUAAACCAACCCCCAUGCCUCUACGAUGUUCUGAUGCAGAGAUAUAGAUCUUGCAAAACGGUUGCUAGGGUACUGUGUUUGGUUGCUAGGGAGUGGCCUGGCAGCUGCCAAUGAUGAUACUCCAAUGUCUGCUUGCUAGUAUGAAUGAUAUAAACCAACCCCCAUGCCUUUAUGAUAUUCAGAUUUGAAGAUAUCUCUCUAUGCUUUUGGUCGCUAGGGAGCUCCAAAUGGUUGCUAGGGCGUGGCUAUGAAGUGUUGAAGGUGAUUCGUGAUUGGCCAUUUGCUGCCCCGAGUCAAACGAGCCAACCCUCAUGUUUCUAUGACACUUCUAUCCAAAGUUAUUCAUUUUAUAUUUUUCAAUGGAAGUCUAUGGAGCUUGUUGCUAUGGUGCUCUAUAUGGUUGCUAGGGCGUGGCUUGAUAGCUUCAUAAUGAUCCUGAGAGUCUGAUUGGUGGCCUGAUUAAAAUGAGCCCACCCCCUUGUCUCUAUGACUAUGUGAUCCAGAGUUAUGUUCAAGGAAAAA